rnacentral:lncRNA from 1 species
CCUGACCUCUCCCCCCUGCGGUUCCCCUCUGAGUAAAACGGACACAAAGCCCGCGCUGCAGACAAUCAACUGCAGGAGGCCCCACAAAAGCUCCCUCCCCAUCCACCACCCCUGGGAGCGCCCCGGCCAGCCGAGGCCGACGGGAGCUGUCACCACACUGAGCUGCCUUCAGGGGACAGGGUGACUGGGGGCUCGGAGAGCCCGAGAUUUUUGGGAUUCUGUCCGUGCCUCUUGGAAACCGGAGUCUCCCAGUCGGGUGCCUGCGAGAGAGGCCGGCUCCCACCAGGCAGGAGGGUGAAAGCCGGGACUCAGAAACACAGGAGACUGGAAAAUUUAGACUGCGUGAAGCUGGAGGCUUCCUCCCUACCGCCGCUUGCCCAAAAAAUAAACAAAAAGAAGGAAGUA